rnacentral:misc_RNA from 1 species
GAUGAAGAACGCAGCGAAAUGCGAUAAGUAAUGCGAAUUGCAGAAUUCAGUGUGUCAUCGAAUCUUUGAACGCACAUUGCGCCCUGUGGUAUUCCGCAGGGCAUGCCUGUUCGAGCGUCAUUUCAACCCUCAAGCCCCGCUUGGUGUUGGGCCCCGCCCGCUGUGGCCGGCCCUAAAGACAGUGGCGGCGCCGCCUGGCCCUCAGCGUAGUACAUCUCUCGCUCCAGGGUCCGGUGGCCGCCUGCCAGAACCCCCCAACUCUGUGGUUGACCUCGGAUCAGGUAGGGAUACCCGCUGAACUUAAGCAUAUCAAUAAGCGGAGGA